ensembl:lncRNA
GGCCUUUGUGUCAGUAAGUGCUAAAAAUGGAGGUUCAGUCAUUUCAGGGCAAUAUUUGGAGCCUUGUAAACAGCUUGAAAUGAUUAAUUUACUCUAAAAGUGAAUAAGAGAGUUGUGCUGCAGUGUAUCCCCAAGGCUGACUUUUUAGUGGUAAUUUUACUCAAUCAAUUACCUCUUUUUCUCUUGUCAAUUUCAUCUCCACCAAGCCAUCACAAUAUGCAGAGGAAAAUGCAGCUUACAGGACCAUUUCCUAUUCAUCAUUUCAAGUGACCCCACAGCAGUUUGGAGGUGGCCUCGAGACUGCCCCAGGUCACACAAUUAGAGGUAGACAUGGGUCUUUCUGAAGGCACUUUCUCUCAUUUACUUGCCGAAAACAAUUGGGAUGACAGACCAUGAAUAACUUGUUAUCUUAGGGCAUUGGGAUAAUAAUUGAUAAUCUGGUUGGUAAUGAGAUUUUUGAACUUGAUGAAAUUUAACCCUGAGGUUACUGCACCUGACUUGAAGAAUUCAGACCACUAACAUCAGCGGUAACAUAUUUCUGCUUGAGUGGGGCUGCGAUGGUGCAUUGGUUGGCAUCACAGUCCCUGGCACCUCAGGUGUUAAUUGGGGAAAACCCAACGGCUCUGGCUCUGCAGGAGUUUUCUGAGAAGCUCCAUCCCCAAGCAGUGUGUGAACUGACAGUAAGAGGAAUACCAUGGAUUUCAGUGAUUGUCCCCCUUAUUCUCCAGGGCGCAGCAGCCGUGGCCAGGCUCUCUGGAGGGAAGAAAGCCUCCUUUACAGAAUCCUCGAAAGGGGAGGCCUAUUUAUUUUUUCCUUCAUCAUUUUCUGUGUGAGUUUAUAAAUUUCCAGUCUGCAACCUUAAAGUUUGAGAAUUGAGGUGGACAGGAAUACUUACAUCUGGUUCACAUUUUUUAGUACCACAGCAAACCAUUUUGUUCUAAAAUAGUUUAUUUUCUAAGUCUUGUCCUUCCAAGGGGAUUGUAAGUUACUGGAGGGCAAGGACCUUUCUUCUAGAUCGUUUGUUUUUUUACAUACUACCUUUGAGAACUUCAGCCUUUAUAUCCUGAUUUUAGAAGAGCUCAGAUAAAACCUCGUGUCACAUGGAAACAGCAGAAUGGCGUGGUUAAGUGCCGGGUUCUGGAAGCAGAUGGGCUGGCUUUUAAAAUUCCAGCUCCAUCGCUUACUAACUGUAUAAUCUUGGACAAGCUUUGUACCUCCUCUAAACUUGCUUCUGUUUCCUCAACUGUAAACUGGGGAUAAUAUUUGAAACUACCUAAUAUGAUUAUUAUGGAAUUAAACUAGAUACUGCAUUUCAAGCACUUGACAUGGGGCUUGACACGUGAUCAAUAAAUGUUAGGGAUCAUUGUUAUUACUAUCAAACAUCAUCAUCAUUGUUUAUCAUCUUCAUCAUCGUCCUUGGGGAUGGUUGAUGAUAAUGCAGUUAGGUGCAUCUAUAACUUGUUAAUUUUUAUUAUUUUCAACCUGGAAAGAAGUUCUUGGUGCUGUGCCAUGGGCCUCUGUCCUUGGCUGCUUUAUCCUGUCUAGAUAAACUUAGAAGGCAUCAUUGGUCAGUUUGGAAUGACACAGAUGUAGGAAGAUCAGGAAAUACCGAGCUGAUAGAAUUCAAGUUUGAAAUGAUGAGCUAAAACUGGCAAGGCUACAUUCAGCAGAGACAAGUACAUAGGAUUGUGCUUAAAUUAAAAGUGAAACAGAUAAAAAUAAAAUGGCCCAACCACAGGACUGGAGAGACCUGGCUGGAUGGAAGUUAGUUUGAAAGAGUCUUGAGGCUUUUGUUGACCAAAAGUUGAGUCUGAGAUGCCGGAAUGAGGUUUUGCUUAGAGAGCAAAUACCACCUUAGGCUACUGCUAUGGGCUGAAUGUUUGUGUCUCCUCAAAAUUCAUAUGUUGAAAAUUAACCCCUAAUGUGAUGUGUUUGGAGGUGGGGCCUUUGGAAGAUGAUUAAAUCACUAGGACGGAGCCCUCCUGAAUGAGAUUAGUGUCCUUAUAAAAGAGACUGCAGAGAGCUCCCUGGCCCUUCUACCAUGUGAGGACACAGGGAGAAGGAGCCAGCUCUGAACCAGGAAGCAUGCACUCACCAGACACUGAAUCUGCUGGCACCUUUAUCUUGGACUUUCCAGCCUCCAGAACUGUAAGAAAUGAAUGUCUGUGGUUUAUAAGCCACCCAGUCUACGGUAUUUUGUUAUAAUAACCUCAAUGGACUGAGAUAGCUACAUUAAUCAGAGUGCAGUGUUCAGAUCAAAGGCAGUAACGGACCUGCUGUUUAUUGCACCAGUAUGAACACACCUGAAACACUAUGUUUAGGUUCAGGAACCUUUGCAGUCAUCCUUUUAUCAUUUCACUAAAAGUUUGAACUUCUUUCUUAGCUGUGGAUAGAAUGAAUCAGCAGGAGGGCAGAUUUAUUAAAUCAUCCCACACUGCUCAUCAUUUUGUAGUUGAUGACUCUGAUGAUAAAUUUCAAUUUAGGAGGAAUGUUCUUAAAUUUCAUGUUAUUUUUUGUUGUAUUUUACUUUUUUGAUGAGGAAGAUUCAUCCUGAGCUAAUGUCUGUUGCUAAUCUUCCUCUUUUUUCUUGAGGAAGACUGGCCCUGAGCUAACAUCUGUGCCAAUCCUCCUCUAUUUUGUAUGUGGGACACCGUCACAGCAUGGCUUGAUGAAUGGUGUUUAGGUCCAUGCUUGGGAUCCAAACCUGCAAACCCUGGGCCGCUGAACUGGAGUGCAUGAACUUAACCACUAUGCCACCAGGCUGGGCCCAUAGAGGGAACAUUCUUUCUUCCUUUCCCAAGAGAUUCUUACUCACUUUCGGCUUGACCUGAAAGGCCAGUUAUGUCACUUUAUUUUCUGUUUAAGAGAUUUAGGCCGAGUUUCUCUUUGACCACUUAAUUCCCAUCCAUGUUAUCCUUCCUUCCUCUGUCUCUAUACUAAUACUGUACCUCCCUUCUGUGCUUCCUCCCAUUAUGUGUUCCCACUGUGCCUGCUGCUGUAGCUUCUGAUUUGAUGCCUUUCAUGAUCUCAAUCUCUCUUUCCCUUCUAUUUAGGGCCUUCCUUUUUUACGGCAGCUAGUUGGAUAACUUAAUUUCACCUGGGAUUUUCAGAGCUUAACAAUGUCUUGUAUAGUAGUAUACCUUUCAGAUUAUACAUUUGUUUAAAAUAUAAUGACAUUCAGUGCUCUAUCCAAAAGGAGAUCAAUGGCAAGGAUUUUGGAACUUGCAGCAGGCGGGUGCAGGGAGCGGUCGUUCAUUAGCGGCCUCAUCAUCGUGGCAGGUGGUGCCUGGUGAUUGUAGUGGGUGAGGCAGACCUACGUUUCAGUACCUGCGAGGUUCCUUUUUGGGAAGGAGUGAGGAUUAGAAUUACAUUGAGCGCAGUGGGGACCAGGAGAGAAAAUUUGAGUUAUUGAGGUUAUUUGACUCUGCUUUUAUCCCGAGACCAGAAAGGCCUCUGACAUUUGGAUUCGAUCUCAUUUAGCUGAGGGUCUUCUGGAGACAACGACUGGACUUUAUUACCCAGUGCAUUGACGUUGACUAUUUCAGGCCAUGCCCGACCAAAGGAGUAAGAAUAUUAGGUAAGCAGAACUUUUCGAGAGCAAUUAAGUCAGGCAAUUUAAGCUGCAACUUAAAUAAAUUGGAGAGUACUUAUUAUUCUGUGCAUUGUUCACACCUUAACUAGGCAUAGGGAUCUCAGUUUCCAUCUGUCUGAGCCUCAUUCUCCUCUACGGUGAAGGGAACCAGGAUACCUAUUUUGCUAUCAUUUUUACUGCAACGUUUAUAUAUUUCUCUUGGAGAUCUUCCAUGAUUUUCUUUUGGUUAGAAAUGAUGUCAGUCAUAUCAGGCGAGUGAUUAGCAUAAAAGAUGAUGACUUACAUGGUAGAAAUUUUAAUAGUGAUAGUAACCCAGUUGUAAUAACUUGAGUCACUGCAGAGAGAAAUGUAGCAUGACAAUGUCUUAAGGUAUUAACCAGCGUAUUUUCACAGUUGCAUGUCUUCCUUAUGCUGUAGGGAAGGGAGGCCAAGAAAAAAUGAUAAGUGUAAAAAGGGAAAAAAAGAGUAAUUUAUUGCUCUUGAGUUUCAAAAUACAGUUUUGGAACCCAGGGCAGGAGCAACAGUGAGAGAAAAGGCGUGAGCGGGCUGUCCAUUUUUUGCCCUGACUUUGAGAGGGGCAUAAGAGAGCUGUGGGAAAGCCAGUGGGCCCCAGCCAUCUUCAAGAUUGGGAAAAGGGGAGCAGGACUUGAAUUCAGCAUGGGCAGUAUGACCAGGGACCUGGUGGAAAUAAGGAGGUCAGCCUCAGUGGAUUCGGCAUGGAAGGAAAAUGACAUCCUGGGCCUAAGGAUGAGUUACAUCUCAGGAUGGCUGGUGUGGAUGGAUGACACUCAAAGACCAGACACCUCAAAGGCCUUUACACUGCGUAGUCUCCCCCCCGCUCCCACACCAGUUACAACUCUUAAAGAAGAGGGAAAUCCUGAAUUGACUGAGUUUACUCAGAAUUGACUGAAAUUAACAUUUUUAUUCCUGGUUAAAUAAGGAUUCAAGAUAGACAUUAUGUUCAGUUUUAGAAAAAUAAACCUAGAUUUUUGCAUACCUGAAUUUGUCCUCUCUACUUUUGAUGCUUUAGGAAAAAGCACUGAAGGUGAAUAAUUGAGUGAGUGGGCUGUUUUCAAGUUGGAACAAAGCACUGAAGUGCAAGUCAGAGGAUUUAUAUUUUAGUCUCAUCUUUGUUACUGUUUGACCUUGAGCUUGUAAUUUUCUCCUCUGGGUUUUAUUUGUCUCCAUCUGUGGGGCUGGCCUGGAUCAGAGCUUCCUAACCUAGUGGCUGAGGUCAUUUGAAGGGGCUGAGUCUUCCCAAGGCAUCUUGAAUCUGCAUAGGAAGCAAUCAUUGUCUGUAGAUGGAAUAAGUAACAUAUCUUUGCACAUAAGUACUACUAAUUUUUCAAAUGUUUGUAGAGCUUAUCGCAUUUAAUAAAAUGUGAUUAAUUCAUUUAAAAGCACUACUAAAUUUAUUUUUUAUUUUUGUAAUAGUCUUCUCAAUUGAACAAUAUGAAAUGUGUAACUCUUAUUUAGAAAUUAUAGAGGAGUCCUUCUAGUCCAGACUUUAGUCUAAAAUGUGGUUUCUGUGGGACUAGAGGAUCCCUAAGGAGCCAUUCUAUUCCCAUUGGCUACAAUUCUAAAGUGGGGUUUAUGUUAAUUAGGG